GAUGAAGAACGUAGCGAAAUGCGAUAAGUAGUGUGAAUUGCAGAAUUCAGUGAAUCAUCGAAUCUUUGAACGCACAUUGCGCCCUUUGGUAUUCCUUAGGGCAUGCCUGUUCGAGCGUCAUUUGAAACCUCAAGCUCAGCUUGGUGUUGUGUGUCUGUCCCCGCCUCACCGCGGGGACUCGCCUCAAAAUCAUUGGCGGCCGGUACGUUGGCUUCGAGCGCAGCAGAAACGCGAACUCGAGGCCCGGCGGAUCGGCGACCAGAAGUCACUUCUUCACAGUUUGACCUCGGAUCAGGUAGGGAUACCCGCUGAACUUAAGCAUAUCAAUAAGCGGAGGA
rnacentral:misc_RNA from 1 species